GCCCAGAUGACGAGUCCCAAAUAGGAUGAAACGUGUGUCCUGAAU
rnacentral:hammerhead_ribozyme from 1 species